rnacentral:lncRNA from 1 species
UGCUCUCAAAAUUUUAAUUCCUUUAGUUUAGCCUAACCCCAUGCAUCUUAUACACACGGCGCACUCUCUCACACUCCAUACAUUUAGCUAAUAAAUUACGUUAUAAACAAAAAGGCAAAAUAAAAAGAUAAAUUACGUUAUCACUAGCUAUCCUAUAACCCACUUAGACUGAGUUUUGGAUUCUGGUUCGAAAGGUAAAAUCUUAACUGAAAGGGCAUGGGCUUGAGUUUUGUUAACUGGUUCGAAGUAAAAUACAAACCUUAAACUUACCUAAAGCAAAGGCUCCAUUAAAUAAGCAUGAGAAUGUAUAGAAAUAUUUUGAAAACUUUUUCAUAAGUGUUGAAAAUCCAAAUGAAAAUUACAAUAACGCUGAUUUAGUGAGCAUAUAGUACUGUUUAUCUAUAUAGUUGAAACAGAUAGACUUAACCGCAAUUCUCAUACUCAUUUAACCGGAACGCCUUGAUGAUGAUUUCCAUGGCACGUCGCAGCUGCUUUCAAACCCGCAAGUGACAAGAUACUUAUCAUACUUAAUCAAAGAGGAUCAUUAUAAAGUCAAAUUUCCACUAUGAAAUCAACAUCAACAUGAAAA